UGAUGUCCCUGUGGGAAGUGGUUCUGUUCUUAUCUUUGUCACGCUAGCUAGGAGCCCCCGAGUCCCAGUCGUUGGUGGUUCAGAGGUUUCAAAAAUGCUCCCUUCACCUGACACCGAGUGGUCUUGCAAGUGAUCAACUGGUUCUGUCAGACUUUUGGCGUUUGUGGUCAACACAACAGCCUUCUCUUUAUUGUCCGAGCUUCCAUAAAAGGGGAUUUGGAAUGGUAGUGAGGGAAAGGAAGGGAGCUUUGGCAGAGACGGGGUCCACCAGUUAGAGCGUUGUCUAUUUUCAGGUGCGUUUUCUCUUGAUGGCGUCUGCCCCCAGAGAGCCUCUUCGUCAGCCACAGCCUGCCUGUGAAGUAGCAAAAAACAUCCGAAGCAGAAAGCCAAGGUCUGGAGGAGGCGAAGCAUGCUGUCGACAGUGGCGCACGGAUCGCUCACAUGUUGUUCUCCAUCCUCCUGCUCCCUCAGGCCAGUUCUCUCUACUCUAUCAAGUUCUUGCUGUUUUCUUCGGCGCGCACAAGAUCAAUCAGCCACUACCAUAAGAGUCCAAGGCGCAUUCUCACUGAUCAGGAGAGGAGGGACAUGACCUGCAGUCUUCCCCUCUGUUCCAGCCUGGAGGGAACCUGGAGGGAUGAAACCAACCUGGAUACACAGUCAGAUAUUGAGAUAUGAUGACUGACUACCGGGGGGGGGGGGUUAAACAUAGAGCUUCCCACACCCUCCCUACUUUUAGCAUUCUGACGGAACAUCAUGAAAAUCAGUUUCCGAUGAUGUGUAGUUGUUUUUAGAUGCCUGUGUUCUCAAGCUUGCUCCAGCCAACCCACUCACACGGUCACAUUUCAUGUAUGCAGAGAUAUGAUUGUAAAUGAAUUUGGAUCUGACUGUGCAUGUUAGUGCAAUUGUGUACUUGCCCACAUGUACUGUUCUGUAGUAGCAACACACACACCCACGCGUGCACACAGGCCUGGGCUUCUUCAAGACAUUUUGCCAGCAAUUUCUGAAGUCUUACAGAAAGGCCAAUGAACUAUUAAACGCUGCCUUUAAAGAGAAAGGGAAAUAUGUUUUGUUGAGAAGCCAAGUUUAUUUGAUUCUACAUAGAAACAUUUUAAUAAGUUGUGAAGCUUAGAGCAAAUUGAUUGCCUCUUUGUCAAUUUCAUGCAUAACUGAUCAAUUAUUUAGAUUGUGGGAAAUAUGUUUAAUUCAGUUUGGCUGGCAUUGUCACAUUUCAUGUCAAUAUCACUUUCACUUAGUGUGUGGUAAAAGGAAACUCAUGUACAUGUAGAGCGCAAAAUGCUUCCUUCACUUCACAGCAUGUUUUUAAGUUUCUGACUAUUUUGAAAGGAUCGGUUUUGGACAGAACUGAGUGUUCUUUCCAAUCACUCAGGCAAGUAGAAAACGUUCCAUUCUUUGUCUGAUUUGACUCAAGUGACAUAGCAGAUGGUAUUUUGUUGAUGGUUGACUCAUCUUGUCAUGGCACACAUGCAAACAGUUUCCUCAAAGAUAGAUGUUUUUUAUUUUAGGUCCUGCAGAAAAGUAGCAUAAAUAACAUAACAAUUAUCUAACGUUUAAAGCCCCAAUAAAGCAUGAUUUUGUUUUUCAAUCAUGGAAAUGUACAUGUACUCUCUUCAAGGUCAGGAUUUUCUAAGAUAAACUCUAUUCCUAGAUCUCACUGUAUCUCCCAAUACGUUAUACAUGUAAUGAUAUGGUGAACUUGUCAGCAGAGAUUAGCAUUUUUACACCCUCAGCAGAUACUUAGCAUUACUAGCAUUCAUUUGGCGUCCAAUAUUCACUUUUCUUUUAGCGUUGUUUUGCUCUCCAGCAACUCCUGAAGAAAAUAUCUGGCUCUUUAGUAAUUUCUUCAACUGUGUUCACCAGCUAGUUGCUAACUUUGUCUGUCUGGUGUUAUUGCUGGGCAGGUAGCUUUUAUUUUCUGUAGACAGAAAAGAGAGCGGUGGGAGUGAACAAAAACAUUAAAGUUGCGGGCCAAAAAAACCCCAAUGUGCUGAAAGACACUAAAACGCUCCACAGAGCUGAGUGGAGAUGCAAAGUUGGUAGAUAAUUCUCUGUGGAUUUGUUGUUAGUCAUGUGAUCCAUUCAUAAAGUAAAAACAUUGGUGAUAGCAGCAUUAAUAUGUAAACAAAACAUUUUUUGUUGGUAAUGUAGAACUAGUUUUUAGCUGUCAUAAACUAUCAAUGCCAGCUAACAAUCAAGCUAACAAAUUAAUAAUGUACUGUGCUAGCUACCAAUGAACCGCACAACAGCUUGUGCUUUACUAUCAUUCCAGAUUGGGCCUUUAACUUUUUUUGUCAGCACACGUCACCACAUCAAAUAUAUGCCAGUGAAGGCAUUGUCUGGUUUGACAGGCAGCAGAGCAAGUGGAAAGGAACUAUAAAAAGUGUCUGUGGGGAAUUUACAAGCCCCCUCUAUUAUUUUGCUGGCGUUUUGUCUCGCUGCUCCUGACAAAGAUGGGGCCUGCCACUGUAGUGUGGUCAAUAGAGCAGGGACGGACACAGCAAAAGAGAGGCAGAAAAGAAGGGCAGACAGUAAAAGACAAGGGCAAUAGAAGAGAGCGAGAGAGAGAGAGACAAAGACACCAUAUUGACAUACAGUUGUGCCAUUCUUAGUCCAGGAGAGUAAACCCUGCGGCAGUCUUCGUAAUGCUCAUUUUAGUUUGUUGCCAGAGCCUCUUUUAUUAACUCUGUAAACAGACUCCUGUCUUUCAAUUAGGUAUGUGUGUGUGUGUGUUCAUAAGAAGCCCCCACUCUCUCACUUCUCUCAGGACCAUCAACCAUCUUGAUCUCAAUCAGCCUCCAACCUGCUGUACCAUAUUUCUUCAUGUAAAUUUCUCAAUUUUAAAUUUAUCUGACGGCGGUGUUAUGGCUUUACAAGACCCUCUGUGAGAACUCUGCUCAUAAUAAGGCCGCCAUAGUAAAGCUAACAAGAGAGAAAAAGAUGAAGAGGGGAGUACAGUCUCUGAGAAUGAAAGUUAAAAAAAAGAAAGCGGUGUGUCACUCCUGAGUGACUGAAAUGGAUAGGCUCUACACUGAGGGGAGUCACAAAUGGAGACGAAUUUACUGCGGCCGAUGUCAUUACUAUUUAACAAACCUGGCGAGGCCUGAGGAUCAAUGAUACAGUCUAGGAUAAUGGAAUAAUUUACCUCCCUGCAAAUGGAUACUGUUGUGGGGGUUUUGUGAAUCUACUGCGUGGGUGCUGUGUAUAUUUAGCACUAGUUUUCACUCUUAUUUCCAUGGUUAUAUGUAGUUGCACAUGAAUUUGAGCGUAGAUUUACACGUGCAUCCUCCCACGUGUUGUUGGGUCCUGUAUUUUCGAUUUCAGCUCUUUAUCACAGGCUCUAUCUCCAAUCUAAGGAGUCAACUUAUAGCUUUUUCCUGUUGUCCUCUCCUGACUUUGACGCUACGCAGGGAUGUCAAUAUUGCACAGAUUCAAUCUGACUGGCCGCUCUAAGCCAGCAGGGAUUUAUCCUGCAUAAAGCAGCACAUUUGAAGGGCUUUAGAAAGUGUUAGAGAGCUUAACCUGGCAAACAAGUGGCUGUCUAUCCAUCUUUCAAUCAUUGUGGUUGUCAUUAUAGUCAUGGCAAAUUCUUGUGACAGGGAAAGACUGUGGAUGUAACUGUAGGUGUUUUAUGUCCUCAUUUCACCAACAAACAAUAAAAGUUUAUUAAAAAAUA